GAUCAUGGCUCAGGAUGAACGCUGGCGGCGUGCCUAACACAUGCAAGUCGAGCGGACCUGACGGAGUGAAUAGCUUGCUAGUAUCUCCUGACUGGUUAGCGGCGGACGGGUGAGUAACGCGUGGGUAACCUGCCUCAUACAGGGGGAUAGCAGUUGGAAACGACUGGUAAUACCGCAUAAGCGCACAGUACCGCAUGGUACGGUGUGAAAAACUCCGGUGGUAUGAGAUGGACCCGCGUCCGAUUAGCCAGUUGGCGGGGUAACGGCCCACCAAAGCGACGAUCGGUAGCCGGCCUGAGAGGGCGGACGGCCACAUUGGGACUGAGACACGGCCCAGACUCCUACGGGAGGCAGCAGUGGGGGAUAUUGCACAAUGGAGGAAACUCUGAUGCGGCGACGCCGCGUGGGUGAAGAAGUAUUUCGGUAUGUAAAGCCCUAUCAGCAGGGACGAUAAUGACGGUACCUGACUAAGAAGCCCCGGCUAACUACGUGCCAGCCGCGGC
rnacentral:rRNA from 1 species